rnacentral:rRNA from 1 species
GACGAACGCUGGCGGCGUGCCUAAUACAUGCAAGUAGAACGCUGAAGGAGGAGCUUGCUUCUCUGGAUGAGUUGCGAACGGGUGAGUAACGCGUAGGUAACCUGCCUGGUAGCGGGGGAUAACUAUUGGAAACGAUAGCUAAUACCGCAUAAGAGUAGAUGUUGCAUGACAUUUGCUUAAAAGGUGCAAUUGCAUCACUACCAGAUGGACCUGCGUUGUAUUAGCUAGUUGGUGGGGUAACGGCUCACCAAGGCGACGAUACAUAGCCGACCUGAGAGGGUGAUCGGCCACACUGGGACUGAGACACGGCCCAGACUCCUACGGGAGGCAGCAGUAGGGAAUCUUCGGCAAUGGACGGAAGUCUGACCGAGCAACGCCGCGUGAGUGAAGAAGGUUUUCGGAUCGUAAAGCUCUGUUGUAAGAGAAGAACGAGUGUGGGAGUGGAAAGUUCACACUGUGACGGUAUCUUACCAGAAAGGGACGGCUAACUACG